UACGUAGGGGGCAAGCGUUAUCCGGAUUUACUGGGUGUAAAGGGAGCGCAGACGGUGAUGCAAGUCAGAAGUGAAAUACCCCGGCUCAACUGGGGUGCUGCUUUUGAAACUGUAUGACUAGAGUACUGGAGGGGCAGGCGGAAUUCCUGGUGUAGCGGUGAAAUGCGUAGAUAUCAGGAGGAACACCGGUGGCGAAGGCGGCCUGCUGGACAUGUACUGACGUUGAGGCUCGAAAGCGUGGGGAG
rnacentral:rRNA from 1 species